UCCACAUAACCACGACACAUGGCUUGACUACCUGCGUCUGGUGGAGAGCGAUGCUGACACUGAGACGGUGAGGGAGGUUUAUGAGCGAGCCAUUGCCAACAUCCCGCCCAUCCAGGAGAAGAAAUACUGGAGGCGGUACAUUUACCUGUGGAUCAAUUAUGCCCUUCACGAAGAGCUGGUUGUCAAGGAUCUAGAGAGAACGAGGCAGGUGUAUCAGGCCUGUCUGGCAGUCAUCCCUCAUAAAAAGUUCACAUUCGCUAAGAUUUGGCUGCUUUACGCCAACUUUGAGAUCCGACAGAAGAACCUGCCGUUAGCAAGAAGAGCCAUGG